rnacentral:sRNA from 1 species
AGAAAAAUAAUUGAAUACUAGAUUUUAACCCGCAGUACACCGCAUGAACAAUUUAUUUUUUU